UCCCUGUUGGCUCAGUUGGUAAAGAAUCUGCUUGUAAUGCAGACGAUCCAGGUCUAAUCCCUGGGUUGGGGA
rnacentral:tRNA from 1 species